GUCGGCCUCCGUUGACGUCAGCACGCCUCGCGGGUUCCAGCCCCUCAGCCCGGCCCCCAACUACCGCGCGAGACGGGCGGGGGCGGGGUGCCGGCCCGCGGCGCUAUCCCGUCCGACCGCGCCAGUUUGAAUGAAAGCUCCUCAAGAUGGCGGCGGCCGGGGCCGAGGCGCGAGGAGCUUGGUGUGUGCCUUGCCUAGUUUCACUUGAUACUCUUCAGGAAGUAUGUAGAAAAGAAAAGCUCACAUGUAAAUCGAUUGGAAUCACCAAAAGGAAUCUAAACAAUUAUGAGGUGGAAUACUUGUGUGACUACAAGGUAGUAAAGGAUAUGGAAUAUUAUCUUGUAAAAUGGAAAGGAUGGCCAGACUCUACAAAUACUUGGGAACCUUUGCAAAAUCUCAAGUGCCCGUUACUACUUCAGCAAUUCUCUAAUGACAAGCAUAAUUAUUUAUCUCAGGUAAAGAAAGGCAAAGCAAUAACUCUAAACAAUAACAAAGCUUUGAAACCUGCCAUUGCUGAAUACAUUGUAAAGAAGGCUAAACAAAGGAUAGCUCUGCAAAGAUGGCAAGAUGAACUCAACAGAAGAAAAAAUCAUAAAGGAAUGAUUUUUGUUGAAAAUACUGUUGACUUAGAGGGCCCACCUUCAGACUUCUACUACAUUAAUGAAUACAAACCUACUCCUGGAAUCAGCUUAGUAAAUGAAGCUACCUUUGGUUGUUCAUGCACAGAUUGCUUCUUUGAUAAGUGUUGUCCUGCUGAAGCUGGAGUUCUUUUGGCUUAUAAUAAAAACCAACAAAUUAAAAUCCCACCUGGUACCCCUAUUUAUGAAUGCAACUCAAGAUGCCAAUGUGGACCCGAUUGUCCCAAUAGGAUUGUACAGAAAGGCACACAGUAUUCACUUUGCAUCUUUCGAACUAGCAAUGGCUGUGGCUGGGGUGUAAAAACCCUUGUGAAGAUUAAAAGAAUGAGUUUUGUCAUGGAAUAUGUUGGAGAGGUAAUCACAAGUGAAGAAGCUGAAAGACGGGGGCAGUUAUAUGACAACAAAGGAAUCACAUACCUCUUUGAUCUGGAUUAUGAAUCUGAUGAAUUCACAGUGGAUGCAGCUCGAUAUGGAAAUGUGUCUCAUUUUGUGAAUCACAGUUGUGACCCAAAUCUUCAGGUGUUCAAUGUUUUCAUUGAUAACCUCGAUACUCGUCUUCCCCGAAUAGCAUUAUUUUCCACAAGAACCAUAAAUGCUGGAGAAGAGCUCACUUUUGAUUAUCAAAUGAAAGGUUCUGGAGAUAUAUCUUCAGACUCUAUUGACUACGGCCCAGCCAAAAAGAGAGUCAGAACUGUGUGCAAAUGUGGAGCUGUGACUUGCAGAGGUUACCUCAACUGAAUUUUCAGGAAAUAGAGCUGAGGAUAAAUGUUGCUCCCCUUGGCCAACCAUUCUUUGAAUUAUAAUUGGCUACAAAAAGGAUACAAAAAUACUGAUGUAUUCCUGACUACCUGCUGUUGAGAUUAACCAAAGGUUUAUAUACAUUUCCUUUCAAUGUUAGAUUUCUUUUUAAACAGUUAAUUGUUGUCAU